rnacentral:rRNA from 1 species
GNCNUNCUNNGUCGACGAUUCCUACGGGAGGCAGCAGUGGGGAAUCUUGCGCAAUGGGCGAAAGCCUGACGCAGCAACGCCGCGUGAGGGAAGAAGGCCUUCGGGUUGUAAACCUCUUUCAGUAGGGACGAAGCUUCCGGGGUUAAUAGCCUACGGGGUGACGGUACCUACAGAAGAAGCCCCGGCUAACUACGUGCCAGCAGCCGCGGUAAUACGUAGGGGGCAAGCGUUGUCCGGAAUCAUUGGGCGUAAAGCGCGUGUAGGCGGCUUGGUAAGUCUGGCGUGAAAUCUUGGGGCUCAACCCCAAGCCUGCGCUGGAUACUGCCUCGCUCGAGUCCGGGAGGGGAAAGCGGAAUUCCCAGUGUAGCGGUGAAAUGCGCAGAUAUUGGGAAGAACACCGAUGGCGAAGGCAGCUUUCUGGAACGGUACUGACGCUGAGACGCGAAAGCGUGGGGAGCAAACAGGAUUAGAUACCCUGGUAGUCCACGCCGUAAACGAUGGGCACUAGUUGUGGGCGGUGUCGACUCCGUCCGUGACGUAGCUAACGCAUUAAGUGCCCCGCCUGGGGAGUACGGCCGCAAGGCUAAAACUCAAAGGAAUUGACGG